rnacentral:lncRNA from 1 species
GAAGCUUCAAGCAAAAACACCAAGAGAAAGAAUGUGGCCUGGAAGAAGAGAAGAUACUGUCAAGGGGCGAACACACAGACAAGUGUAUGCUAGAAGAUGCAGAAAGGGAACCCGGAGAAUGGGGAAGGAUUCAGAGAUGGCAUCAUUGGCAAAGAGAAAGCUGAAGACGAGGAGGUUGCUGCUUAGCAGGUUUAUGAUGGAAAAAUGCUUCACAGAGGUGAUGGCAGCGUGGCUUCUGUCCAUGUGGUAGACACUUGCAACUCAGCUUGCUCACAUCUCAGUACAUCAGGUGGCAGAAAGACCAGGCUGGGACCAACUCGACAACUCAAGGAACAGCUCUCACAUCCCCAGUUUCUCCCACCUCUACUUCAUCCCCCCACAGCCUCCCUGAAAUAGAACCACCAUCAACUGUAAGACUUGCAUCCAGACUGACCUGUUUGUCAAGCCCACCUCUUCAUCUUCAUAAUGGCAUAUUCAUGAGUGACUGACAUCGGUGAAUAAUCUACACCUAACUGAGUCUUUUUUUUAAAGAAUGAAACUUAAUUAUAUUUGCUUGCUCUACAUAGUUCUCAAAAAUUAUGCGAC